UACGUAGGGUGCAAGCGUUGUUCGGAAUUAUUGGGCGUAAAGGGCUCGUAGGCGGUUCGUCGCGUCGGGGAGUGAAAACUCGGAGCUCAACUCCGAGCCUGCUUCCGAUACGGGGCAGACUAGAGGUAGGCAGGGGGAGAGCGGAACUCCUGGUGUAGCGGUGGAAUGCGCAGAUAUCGGGAGGAACACCAGUGGCGAAGGCGGCACUCUGGGCCGGAACUGACGCUGAGGAGCGAAAAGCUAGGGGAGCAAACGGG
rnacentral:rRNA from 1 species